UUUUUAAUUUUUAUUUAUUGGUAUUGUCAUACCAUUUUUAGAUUAUAACAUAUUUUAUGUUUAAUAGAUAGAAAAGGUAGAGGGUCUUUUGUUUAUAUUGUUUCAUAUUAUAAUUUAGGGGCCCUGGUGUUGAUAUGUCGACUUUUCUUUUAUCUGUUUAUUAGUUUUUUAUUAGAAAAUUGUAUUUUUUAUUUUUGUGAGUUGGAAUUUAAAAUUUUGAAGUGUUUUAUAUUCUGUGUUUUAUAACACUUUCUUUUGGACUUUUGUUUGGUAUAUUUUUUAUUAAUGUUUUAAUAAAUUUAUAAUUAUAAAUUUAGUAGUUUUUGUAAAUUAUGUUUGUUUUUUAAAUAUUUUUUUAUUAACUUGUUUUUUGAUCAAAUGUUUUUUAAAGACUUAGGUGUUUUUUAAUACUGGCCUCUGCCCUAUGUUUUUUUAAAUGGCAGUCUUAGCGUGAGGACAUUAAGGUAGCAAAAUAAUUUGUGCUUUUAAUGGGUUCUAGUAUGAAUGAGGUUUUUGGUUAAUUAUUUAUUUGAUUUUUUAUGAAUUAACAUUCUAUUUAAGAAUUAAUAGUUAUGGUUAAACAAAGAUAAGUCUUCGAAAAUUUUUUUAUUAAGGUAGCUUUUGUUAUUUUAAUAUUUUUUCUAGGGUAGUGUGAUUAUAUAAUUUUUGUUACUAUUAAUAUUUAAAAAAAUUACUUCGGAGUUAACAGAAAAUCAUACCUUGACUAGUUUCUUAUAGUACGGGUAAGUUUUACAUCGAUGUUGUAUCCCAGUUGUGUCAGGGAGGAGUAGGCUGGAUUUUUUAGACUGUUCUUCUGUAAAUAAACUGGACGUGAUAUUAGUUUAAUUCAUCGUGAGAUAGAAUUGUUUAUCUUGUUAAUUAUUUUUUAUAGAUUGUAGAUAGUACGAAAGGAAAUUUAUUAAAGUUUUAAACUUUUUAAAGGGUUGUCCUUUUUUGG
rnacentral:rRNA from 1 species